UUCACCUGCGGAUAAUGAUUUGAGCAUUGGUCAUAGAGAUUAGAUAAGAAGUUACAACUUGCAUUUCACAAGUUACUGACAACAAGACACACCCAGUUUUCACCAGAAAGCUGUUCAGAAGCCUAUACAGUUUCUGUUGAUUGCUUAGCAAUUCUUUCCUUAAAAACGUGAGUUUUAAUUUUACACCUUAAAUUGUUCACACUGAAACGUCACUUUUUGGGUGACCCGACCAAAUUCGUAAAUAAAGUAUGAAUUGUAGAUCUGUAAUUCUCAUUGAAAGCAAGUCUAAUAAGCGGUAGAUCUGUUCUAUGUGCUUUAUUUAUAUGCUUCCUGUUCUUAAAAAUGUCGUUUUUUAAACUAUUUUACUUUAGGUUUCGUACAGCAGCUUCAAACACAAUAUUUUUGGUUAUGUAAAUGAUAUUUCACAGCGGUUUAGAUGAUACAAUGAUUCUCCACACUAUACUUGGCGAACUAUUAGAAUUUUAGCAACAAGGAAAUGGCAGAGCAAUUUCUACAUAGUGCACCUUUCACUUUAAAACGUGUCAAAUCCAAGAAGAGUGGAAGAAAACAGGCUACUGCACGAAAUGAAGUUACUGAGCAGCACUGAACUGCGUGGAACUAACUACCAGCUUCCAACCAUGAUAAGACGGGUCAUGAAAGCAGAUAAACCAACUGGAGAAUGACGUGAAAGUUACAGCUGGGAGAUCUCACAUGACACACCAUCCAUGAAGCAGUAACUUAGGACCCGAGAGACAAAUUAGUGAGAGGGGAGAAAGGACGAGAGAAAAACAAUGUGAGAGAAGAUAGAGAAACAGAUUUCAAGAAAGAGAGAGGGAGAGGGGGAGAGAAAGGGAAACAACGAUUGGGAGAAAUAGAGGGAGAGAAAGAGAGGGGAAUUGAGAAAGAGAGAGAGAGGGAGAGAAAGAGAGGGGAAAUGAGAGAGAGAAAGGGAAACAGAGAUUGGGAGAGAAAGGGAAACAGAUGAGAGUGAGAGAAAGAGAGAGGGGAACAGAUUAGGAGAGAGAGGGAGAGAGAAAGGGAAACAGGUAUUAGGAGAGAGAGAGAAAGGGAAACAGGGUUUAAGAGAGAGAGAGAAAGGGAAACAGGGUUUAGGAGAGAGAGAGAGAGAGAGAAAGGAAACAGGGUUUAGGAGAGAGAGAGAGAGAGAGAGAAAGGGAAACAGGGUUUAGGAGAGAGAGAGAGAGAGAAAGGGAAACAGGGUUUAGAGAGAGAGAGAGAGAGAUAAAGGGAAACAGGAUUUAGGAGAGAGAGAGAGAGAGAAAGGGAAACAGGGUUUAGGAGAGAGAGAGAGAGAAAGGGAAACAGGAUUUAGGAGAGAGAGAGAGAGAAAGGGAAACAGGAAUUAGGAGAGAGAAAGGGAAACAGAGAUUAGGAGAAAGGGAAACAGGUAUUUAGGAGAGAGAAAGGGAAACAGAGAUUAGGAGAGAGAAAGGGAAACAGGGAUUAGGAGAGAGAAAGGGAAACAGAGAUUAGGAGAGAGUGGGAGAGAAAGAGAGGGGAACAGAGAGAGAAAGAGGGAAACAGAGAGAGAGAAAGAGGGAAACAAAGAGAGAGAGAGAGGGAAACAGAGAGCGAGAAAGAGAGGGGAACAGAGAGAGAAAGAGAGGGGAACAGAGAGAGCGAGAGAGGGGAACAGAGAGAGAGAAAGAGAGAGGGAAACAGAGAGAGAGAAAGAGAGGGAAACAGAGGGAGAGAGAUUUGAGAUGUGUUUUAUUUGAUAAGGAUCCUCAUCAGUAACAACUAGUCUUACUGGAGAAAGAGGGAAACAGAGAGAGAGAAAGAGAGAGGGAACAGAGAGAGAAAGAGAGGGGAACAGAGAGAGCGAAAGAGAGGGGAACAGAGAGAGAGAAAGAGAGGGAAACAGAGAGAGAAAGAGAGGGAAACAGAGAGAGAGGGAAACAGAGCGAGAAAGAGAGGGAAACAGAGAGAGAGAGAAAGAGGGAAACAGAGAGAGAGAAAGAGAGGGGAACAGAGAGAGAAAGAGAGGGGAACAGAGAGAGCGAAAGAGAGGGGAACAGAGAGAGAGAAAGAGAGAGGGGAACAGAGAGAGAGAAAGAGAGAGGGAAACAGAGGGCGAGAGAUUUGAGAUAUGUUUUAUUUGAUAAGGAUCCUCAUCAGUAACAACUAGUCUUACUGGGGUUCGACAUAUAAUGACAAAUACAUUACAGACAAAAGGCUUUACAAGUUACAUGUAGUAUGUGUAUGUUCAUUAAUCAGAUACACAAACAUGUCAGUACAUACACACUUAAAGCCGAGAGGGAGAGAAAGAGAGGGAUAUGGGGGUAGAGCAGGAGAGAUAGAGACAGAUGGAGAAAUACUUGUACAGAGAGAGAUGUGGGGCAGGUUAAUGGGGACUUCCACAGUGUUCAGUAAACCUAACUGUCUCACUACAUUAGUCUAAACCUGCUUUCUCCGUACCCCACCUUGCUGGUGGUGACCAUGAUGAGUGUUGUGUGAUUUACUCCCUCUGAAAAGACCAGGGGAUGCUUCUCCCAGAGGACUCUGGGAUAGGAGUGAGCCUUGAGCUUCUGCAGACGCUGCUGGGCCAGAGCUGUGACAUCACCAUUAAUACACAGCUUUCUGUUUGGUUUGGGCUCUGCCCAGUAGACUGGCAAACAAUGGUGUUGCUCCCUUCCUCAUGUCUCUUCAAAGUAGACUUUGUUUUGCCUGACAAACCACCGCUGUAUUUCUGCUGUCUAAAUUAACUGUGCAGUGAUGCAAAAUCUUUUUGGAAAAAGUCCAUUACAAUGUAAAAGGACGUUGUCUUGCAAUUUGUCGUCAAAAGUAUGACAGCAGUGGUGUUUUAGCAAGAAGUUGAUUUGACACAACUUCUGUGCUUCAUCAACUACAUUUCAUCAGUCCCUGAGGGAGAGAACUGAGAGAACCCUUUCAUAUCUAAUGCCUGAUCCAACACAUACACCAGCACAGUUCAGAACAUAAUGCUCUGGAAUGCUGCUAGAGAUCACAUUCUAACACACCAGUGUAACAGCCAAUCAUUUGUCUUCUUACAGCAUUAGGAGGGAGUGGAAUUCCAUUCUGGUCAGCUCAUUAGUGUAUUUUGUGAACAUUUUCUCUUUUAUCAUUCAGAAUUGUCCAACAGUGUCCAGGGCUGUUGAAGUGUUUUAAUGUUUCCUGUUGACAUUUUGCAUGAAAUAAGAUGGACCAGGCUAAUGCAAGGAAUGUGGUCAAUGCCAGUCGCUAGUCUUCUGUGGAAGUGGCACAGAUAAAGAGAAGACCAGUCAUACCAUAAAUAUUACAGUAAAUGUUUCAUCUGGAGUGAAAUCAUAAAACUGCUUUGUAUUAGAGGUGGGAGACCAUUGAGAUAGGACACGGUAUUCCUAACCUGUGUAACAACAUCAAACUGACACUAGAUCAGUUUCCCAACACCUCACCCAAAGUCUAAAAACCUAGUGCUGAAAGUAACACUGCUCUGACCUCAGCUGAGGAGUCAGGUUAGUCAGAUAGCACUGAUAAGAGUAGGAUCUAUAAAGUUCUUAAUCAGGUGACCCAUUUGUCACCCUCAGUAACAGGCCCCGUCACCCCCCAUCUCACAUGGCCACUCUGGGUCUAACUAGAGCCAGAUGCUCCGGGUCGCCAGGUGAAGAGCAACCAUUAACACAACAGACAGCAGCUUCUCUGGGGAACACAGUCACUGCUGAUGUUCACAUGUGAUGCUGAACCUUCUGCACUACCACUUGCCCCUGUAAACAGCCAGACAUGAUUCACAUCUGGUAUUAAGACAAGCAAAACAACCAUGGAAGAUCUCAACUAGUCUUUUAUUGGGUGAAUAUAAAAAUGGUGACUGAAGAUUCAACCAAGGGAGUUUAACAAAGGAAAGGGGGAAGUUUUUUUAAAGAGUGUUUUGGAGAGAGAGAUAUUAGGCAGAGGGGGACAGGGUCUGGAGGCUGGUCUUCACAGUUGCCAAAUUGCCCUUCCAGGAGCUGAGACUGUCGUAGAGCUGCUGCCACUGCUGCUUGCCGAAGGUGCGGUGUGUGCUGUGGCUGAUGGGGGCAGAGAUGAAGACACCUGGUUAGGGAAAGGGGAGCAUAAUGCCAUACCUGGCAACCCUGAAAGGUAUCAUUGGAAAUCUUAAGAGCUUUGAGUCUCCCUCUGACAGUGUAGUGCCUAAUACGUCUGAAGUACCUAGAGGGAAGACAUUUUCCUUGUCAUACACACAACCAAACCCUAUGAUUAAUAGGUAUGCAUAGAACAUACCACAACCGUAAGCACCAAUCAGAUCAGAGUCAAAGGGAACCUACUAUGUAGCACAGAAUAAAAAUAGAUGUCUAGAUUUCCUUUGCGGAAAC